AGAGAGUUAAAAUAGAAAUAUGCUUGAUUUAAUGCGGCACAAAAAUGGAGGAGAAUUUUCCUCCACCAGCGACGGCGUGCCCCAAGCGGCAGCACGGUGCCCAAGGAGGGCGAUGACACACUACUUGAGGUGGCAGUGUGCCGCACCUGGCUGGCACGCAUUGCAGACCUAGCCUAUAGGCACCAAGCUACCCUGCCGCAUGCGUAGGCUUGCUGCACGGACGGCGCGCGCACAAUGUGUAGUGUCUAGCCCUUAUCUGUGCGUGUCAUACGGGGUCUACUUACGUGUGACAAGACGUGCGCAUAGGUCUAGCUCCGUGCCUUGCACAGAUGGAACGUAAGCAUUAUGUGCACGUCCUGCGCCUGUCGCGCAUGGUGCCGGGGCGACAACCAUCUCCCGUGGGAUUUUUCCCCCUCUUUCAUUUUCUCUUAAAAAUCAAUGAUUUAAAAUAAUAGCAAUAAUAAAAA
rnacentral:lncRNA from 1 species